UAGUGAUGAUACGAGAAAUUUCUAUUCUUGCAAGAAAUAGAUAAUAAGACACAACCAUGCAUAAGAGAAAUGAACUUUGAAAACGGGACAUGUGUAGCAUGUGACCAUUGCUGUUUAUUAAAAAAACGGAGUAAGAAACCUCAGUACUGGACAGCAAAGAAGAAUCAGAAAAAUGCUAUGUAAGAAAACACUUCUACUAAUGGAGGCAUGAUCCCC
rnacentral:lncRNA from 1 species